rnacentral:rRNA from 1 species
GACGGGGGCCCGCACAAGCGGUGGAGCAUGUGGUUUAAUUCGAUGAUACGCGAGGAACCUUACCUGGGCUCAAAUGUAUGUUGACGUAUUCUGAAAGGGAUACUUCUUCGGACAAUAUACAAGGUGCUGCAUGGUUGUCGUCAGCUCGUGCCGUGAGGUGUCGGGUUAAGUCCCAUAACGAGCGCAACCCCUAUCAUUAGUUGCCAUCAGGUCAAGCUGGGGACUCUAAUGAAACUGCCUACGCAAGUAGUGAGGAAGGUGGGGAUGACGUCAAAUCAGCACGGCCCUUACGUCCAGGGCUACACACGUGCUACAAUGGCCGGUACAAAGGGCAGCUACCUGGUGACAGGAUGCUAAUCUCAAAAGCCGGUCUCAGUUCGGAUCGGAGUCUGCAACUCGACUGCGUGAAGUCGGAAUCGCUAGUAAUCGUGAAUCAGAAUGUCACGGUGAAUACGUUCCCGGGCCGUU